CCUUUACAUCAUCCUCACCCAUGACUCAACUACCUCAAUCCUCAUCGAGACCUGACCCUGACAAUCAUCCCGACCGUAACCCUGACACCCACCAUGAAGAACCUGAUGAAGGAGUCACCCCAGAACUUAUCUGUUAUUCAGAUGCUGAUUGGGCAGGGGAUGAAAAAUCAAGAAAAAGCACAUCAGGCUUUAUAUACUUCCUAAAUGGUUGUCCCAUAGACUGGUGCGUUUGUCGCCAAAACUUCAUUGCUAAUUCCACUGCCGAAGCUGAAUAUGCCAGUGCUUCUGACGCUUGCACACUUCUCACAUGGAUAUACGAAUUAGUUUCAGAUAUUUGGACACAACCUUCACUACCUAUCACUCUCCACGAGGACAAUGAGUCCGUUAUAGCCUCUUCGGUCAGCUUCAGAUCUCACCAUAUUGAUAUACAUUAUAAAAAUGUGAGAGACCUAAUUAAAAAGGGUUUUGUUGAAUUUGUUCGUUGCGAUACCAAAGACCAAACUGUCGAUUUCUUAACUAAACCUUGUGAAACACAUUGGAACCACUGCAAAUCAGUUGGACUGUACUUAUAAUUUAUUUUUUCUUAUACUUGUGUUUAUUAUUAUCUUUGAACACUGUUCCAUCACACUUGGCAAUAGAAGGGGUCUGUCAGAAUAUUGCCUGCUUAUGAUGCACCAGGGACUAGAAGGGGUUAAGUCUUUACAGACAUCACAUGUGACUAUAUCAGCCAAUGAACUCUUUAUUGGACUCUUACCCAGAAACCACUUGGACAUCUUCCCUGUUUUUUUUCUCUCUCUCAUCUAUCUCUCAGCAAGACAACACGUGAACUUCUCUCUCCUCUCAACAUCUGAGUCAUACAGUUAGGGUAAAAAGUGCAACAGGACACCUUGUUCAUUAUUGUAUGCAUGUAUAUAUUUUGUAAAUAAUAAAACAACUUUUUGAACCUGAAGCUGUAUUGACCAAAUAACUUCCUCAUAGAACCAAAUGAGCACGACCAUCAAUAGGGCAAUACUGAAAUUUAAGUUGAGAGUGCCAUCUGCUGACGAAAGGAAAAAUUACAAGUCUGGGAAUACCUAUAUGUGCGACUGUGAAAAUAUUUACUGGAUUAUCCUUAACUCUACCCCAUGAUUACUGGAGACUCAAAUACAAAAAUAAGGAAGCUAUCUAAUUAAAGGGACCCCUGAAUGUUAUGUUAGAAGAUUGAACCUGUAAAGGAGAUGCAAAGAGGCUUUGGAUAAACUCUGGGACUAUUUAAUUGGAAUUGAUUGUAUACUUGUGGGAUAUAAAGAGCUGUGAUUAGUAUACUCCUUGAAGGGAAAUUUAAGGACUGAAUAAACAGUUGAACUGUUUAAAACAAAACAAGAUACUUUAUAAGGAUGAAAUGAGUGGAACUUUGAAGGAGAUGGCGUUACUUUUUCAAAACACAAAGGAUAUCAUAGAGAAAGGUUUUAAGGAGAUUACGGAAAAAAUGGAAAAUACUAUACGAGGGAUGAUGAGUAAAGACCAAGACAUCCAGGAAAGGGAGGAGCCAAGAGAAGAAUUGGAGGAAAAGAUUGAGCUGAAGAACCAGAGAAGAAAAGAAGAAAAACAAGGAGGAGAUAACAAUGAAAAUAACAGUGACUGAUCAAUUAAAUGAGGGGAAAACAUAUUAAAAGAGUUGAAAAGAGAAUUGGAGAUACAGGAAGAUACCCUUGAAAGGGAGUUAGGGGCCUGGGUAGAAAUUGUGGAAGGUAGGCAAUGGAAGAGGGUAGAUGUGGUAGAAAUAUCUAGAUUGAACAGCCAAGAAGUAGAGAGAUAGUAGAGAUAGAGAUAAAGAUCCAAGAGAGGAAUAUGGGAGGCAAGUCAAAAAAAGCAUAGCAAUUAAAGUAUUGAAGCAGGCAAGAGACAAUGGAUAGAUGAUUUCUCCUUUUUGUUGUUGUUCUGACUUGCUUUUCUUUUUCUCUUUCUUUGCUUUUUUUAGGUAGGUGACAUGAUUAGAAGUUAGGUAGGAUAGAAAGAAAAUGUUUUUUUAAUGAAGGGUGACAUGACUAAAAGUUAGAAUAAGAGAUAGAAAUAAGAGGAGAGGGAAUGUUAGUGUAUAUAAUUUUAUGUAAUAAAAUAAAAGUAAUAAUGAGAAAAUUGAAUAAUUGGAUAAUUGCAAUCUAAUAUAAAUGUGUAUUAUUAAUAGAAAUAUAUGUUGAUUGAAUGUAAUAAUUGAUUAAUUCUACUAGCUUUAUUUGUAUUAGAAUGUAUGACACCUAGGUGCCACACUGUUCAUGCAUUGAUAUGUUUGUAAAAAAACUUUAAAAAAAUACAGCAGAAAGAGACAAAGUGUAUCCAGAAGGGAAUGUUCAGUAGGCACAAAAAUAUUAAAAAGAGCUACAAGAUUCCAAAAGAGAGAGAUAAAAGGCUGACUAAAAAGUCAAUAAAUGAUGGAAUUUUAAAAAGGUUAAGAGAUGAUGGAUAAUGAGAAAAUAUAUUAAUAAAAUGGGAAAAUACAAAUAGGGAAAAUAGUAUAUAUAUUAAUAGAUAAUACAACUUAUUAUAAGUAAAAACAAGUUAAGAUUAGUAGAUGGAAAUUUAGGAUUAGGUAAUUUAAUUGUAUUAUUAACAUUAAUAGUGUGUUAAAGUAUAUUGUAAAUUUAAAAUAUUAAGGAUUAGAAAUUGUGGGGAUUUUGAGACUCCCGGGAUUGAUUAAAUAAUUAAUUGAUUAAAUUGAUUAAAUUAAAUUGAUUAAGUGGAUUAAAUCCACUCCCGGGGUUGAUUAAAUAUUGUUAAUAUUUGGCGUUAUUACUAUACUAUUACUAUCCUACACAUUUCAAAUAUUGAAGUUAUGGUGGAAUAAUGAGUAAUUCUUAAAAUAUUAAAUAAUAGUAAUUUAGUAGGGAAUAACAAAUACCUGGCGCAAAGAAAUGUUAUUUAUAUUUAAAUAAAUUAAUGAGGAAAAUAAUAAAGGAUUAUGAAGAGAGAAUAGUAUUGUUGACGUUGGAAGAUUAGGAUUACACAUACUUAUUUGUAUUAUUAUUGUUAGCAUUGUUUAAAAAAGACUUGACCCAGUCCACAAAAUAUGUAUAGUGUGAAAAGAAAACUGCAAAUAAAACAUGUUUUAAAAAAAGAAAGAAAGAAAAUAAACUUCUAGAAUUUUUAAAAUUUGGGGGAAAAAAUCCUUUUAAUGAGGUGAGAGGCAGCCCAGCUGAGAGAUGGCUCAAAUGAGAAGUGGCCCAGGCAGAGACAGCUCAGUUAUCCAGCCCAACACCUGAGCGAAGGCAGUGAAUUUUAUUUUAUUUUUUUGAAAUGUUUGAAUUCUUAACGAUUUAAGAGAAAAUAUAAUACACCAUGGAAAAAGAGAUAGACACUUCAGUGCAAUGGUGGACAUAUCUGCAGAUAAAUUCAAAGUACACAGAGGAUAUAAAAAAAGAUCAAGUUCUACUAGAAGAAACAGAAUUAGAUAAAAUCAUACUAGGGAAUGAUCGAAAACUAAUAAGUAGACUAUACAAGUUUCUAAUUCGGUAUAAAAUGGAAGAGGAAAUGGUGAAAGACACGAUGAUCAAAUGGCCACAAAACUUUAACCAUGUGAUAGAACUAGAGAAGUGGGAGAGGAUGUGGAAAACGAACAUGAAACUAACAAUUGCGACGGCAUACAAGGAAAACCAGAUGAAAAUAUUUUAUAGAUGGCACCUCCCACCGGCCAGAAUUGUGAAAAUGUUCCCUACCAACUCCCCGAAAUGUUGGAAGUGCAAGACUGGCUACGGAACAUACUAUCACCAAUGGUGGACCUGUACGAUGGCACAAACAUUCUGGAAGAAAAUCAAAACUUGGAUAGUAGAAAUAAUUCAGAACCCAAUAGAGGGAAAACCGGAACAAUUUCUGUUAGGAAUCUCAAUAGACAAUUAUACUAAAGAAAUACAGUACCUUAUAUUGCAUAUAUUGACUGCAGCACGUAUUGUAUACGCACAAUAUUGGAAGAAGGAAACACUACCAACGGAAGAGGAUUUAAUUAAAAAAAUUCUAGAAAGUGCAGAAUUAGAUAAAUUAACUAAAGAAAUUAAGGGGAAAGAAGAAUCAAAGUAUUAUAAGGUUUGGAGUAGAUGGUAUGAAUGGUUGAAACAUAAGGAAAUAAGUUAAAUGAAUGAAGAAAGGAGGGGGAAAAUGUAUAUGAUCUUUUGUUAGUAAAGAAGAAAUGAUAUAAAGUAGAAAAUGAACGUCAAAUAAGUAUAUACUUAAAUAUUUGUAAAUAUUGAUGUAUAGAAAAAGCAGACCGCUGUGUAUAGCUGAAAGAAAAGUGAUAUUUUUCUUUUUUGUGUUACUUUUUGUUGUAUGUAUGUUUGAUUUUUAAUGUGUUAUUAAUGUGUUUAAAAUAAAAAAACUUUUUAAAAAUUAAAAAAAAAAGAAAAAGAAAAAGAAAGAGAUAGACACUUCAAAACAGGGAAGAUAGUAUCAGAUCCCUAUCGUGAUGCUGCCAUUUUUCUGGGGAAGGGGGGACCCUGGAUGUAUUACUUAGUUUAUUGUGUUCUUCCUUACCCCUCCCCCCCAUAGCCUGUAACCUUUUACUUUAUAACCUUUAUCCUGGUGCCUAGGCAUCCUGAGAUUUUCUCACCUUUUGGGGAAUGUAAGGGGAGGGAGGGCCAUGUGGGUUGUAUCACUCCAAAAGCCAGCAGAAGAUGACCCUGAGAACAUUUGCUUAUCGCAUUCUCAGGACAGCCAUUACAAUAACAUCUCCACACCUGCGGAUUGGCUGAAUGCACAUCGAACUGAAGGGAGGGGUUUCUAAUUCCUUUAUCCUAACUGUAUUGCCUGAGGGAAACUCAGAGUCUGCUUUUCUUUUGUCUGCUAUCACUCCUGUUCAAUAAAAGGUUCCUUUUGAAAUGCCAAA